rnacentral:rRNA from 1 species
UGGGGAAUAUUGGACAAUGGGCGAAAGCCUGAUCCAGCCAUGCCGCGUGUGUGAAGAAGGUCUUCGGAUUGUAAAGCACUUUAAGUUGGGAGGAAGGGCAUUAACCUAACACGUUAGUGUUUUGACGUUACCGACAGAAUAAGCACCGGCUAACUCUGUGCCAGCAGCCGCGGUAAUACAGAGGGUGCAAGCGUUAAUCGGAAUUACUGGGCGUAAAGCGCGCGUAGGUGGUUUGUUAAGUUGGAUGUGAAAUCCCCGGUCUCAACCUGGGAACUGCAUUCAAAACUGACUGACUAGAGUAUGGUAGAGGGUGGUGGAAUUUCCUGUGUAGCGGUGAAAUGCGUAGAUAUAGGAAGGAACACCAGUGGCGAAGGCGACCACCUGGACUAAUACUGACACUGAGGUGCGAAAGCGUGGGGAGCAAACA